UAGAUUGAAGCCAGUUANCUAGGGUAUUUAGCUGUUAACUAAAAUUUCGUGAGGUAGAAGCUCACCAAUCUAG
rnacentral:tRNA from 1 species